AUUGAACGCUGGCGGCAGGCCUAACACAUGCAAGUCGAACGAGUGGCGGACGGGUGAGUAAUGUCUGGGAAACUGCCCGACGGAGGGGGAUAACUACUGGAAACGGUAGCUAAUACCGCAUACCAUCGGAUGUGCCCAGAUGGGAUUAGCUCGGAGGUGGGGUAACGGCUCACCUUGGCGACGCUCCCUAGCUGGUCUGAGAGGAGGAACAGCCACACUGGAACUGAGACACGGGCCAGACUCCUACGGGAGGAAGCAUGGGGGAAUAUGGCACAAUGGGAGCAAGCCUGAUACAGCCAUGCCGCGUGGAUGAGGAAGGCCUUCGGGUUGUAAGGUACUUUCAGCGAGGAGGCGUUACUCUCAGAAGAAGCACCGGCUAACUCUGUGCCAGCAGCCGCGGUAAUAC
rnacentral:rRNA from 1 species